rnacentral:tRNA from 1 species
GCCCAGAUGGCCCAAUGGUACGGCGCCAGCCUGCUAAGUUGGUUUCCGCAAGGAUCUCCCGGUUCGAUUCCGGGUCUGGGCG